GACGAACGCUGGCGGCGUGCUUAACACAUGCAAGUCGAACGGAAAGGCCCUGCUUUUGUGGGGUGCUCGAGUGGCGAACGGGUGAGUAACACGUGAGUAACCUGCCCUUGACUUUGGGAUAACUUCAGGAAACUGGGGCUAAUACCGGAUAGGAGCUCCUGCUGCAUGGUGGGGGUUGGAAAGUUUCGGCGGUUGGGGAUGGUCUCGCGGCUUAUCAGCUUGUUGGUGGGGUAGUGGCUUACCAAGGCUUUGACGGGUAGCCGGCCUGAGAGGGUGACCGGCCACAUUGCGACUGAGAUACGGACCAGAAUCCUACGGGAGGCAGCAGUGGGGAAUCUUGCACAAUGGGCGGAAGCCUGAUGCAGCGACGCCGCGUGCGGAAUGACGGCCUUCGGGUUGUAAACCGCUUUCGCCUGUGACGAAGCGUGAGUGACGGUAAUGAGUAAAGAAGCACCGGCUAACUACGUG
rnacentral:rRNA from 1 species